rnacentral:tRNA from 3 species
GGAGAGGUGGCAGAGUGGUCGAAUGUACCUGACUCGAAAUCAGGCGUACUGUCAAAGGUACCGUGGGUUCGAAUCCCACCCUCUCCGCCA